ensembl:antisense Ttc39aos1 Ttc39a opposite strand RNA 1
GCAACUUGAGUUUAGGAAUAGGGAGAAAUGUCUGGGGGAUUGCUGCUCUCAUCAAGAUAACUGCCUGGAAAGACUGUGAGUUGUUUGUUGUUCUUUUUAAAAAUAUUUUUAUGUGUAUUAGAGUUUUGCCUGCAGCUAUGCCAGAGUGAAAGUGACACAUCCCCUGGAGCUGGAGUUACAGACAUUGUGAGCCGCCAUGUAGGUGCUGGGAAUUGAACCUCUGUCCUCUGGAAGAGCAGCCAAUGCUCUUAACUGCUGAGCUAUUUCCCAGGAUGUCCUUAUGCUGCCCUGUGUGAGCAGAGGCCGGGCACUGCUAUGUGGAAACUAUCCCAACUUUGGUAGCCUCACAUAUGGGCUUGAAAAGACGAUGAUGGGAACCUGACCACAACAGCAUGUACCAGCAACCAUUAUUUAAGGAACCCAGACGAGGUGAGCAGCCCUAACUCCUGUGGGUGACACUGUGUAUGACACGGGGAAGGAGCAGGAAGAGAUGCCUGUACGUGACUCUCGUGGACAUCUCUCAAGAUGAGAACAGUUGAGCAAGGUCAGCAGCAGAGUCAGAACUCUUCCCCCAUCACCACAGUCAUCCUCAAGCUGGAGCCAGACAUCCACCCAGGUGACCCAGCUUGGAUCAUGUGCUUAGGGCCAUGAGCCAACAACUGAGCCUGAGGAUUAACUUCCCAAGUCUCAGUCCCUUCCUCACCAGUCGGGACACUUGUCAUGCCUGCGAGAUGUCAGACCUGCCUUCCUUCCUCAUUUCCUCCACAACCCACAAGAACACAGCCAGGACCCC